UUUCCGUAGGUGAACCUGCGGAAGGAUCAUUAUCGAAAUACUUAUUUAGCGUUCCGUGCUAUCCCAUUGUUUUAUUUACCCUGUUGCUUCCACUGGAUGAGUUUCCAUACCUUGUGUUUGAGAAACUUAGGCUUGUGCAAGAUUCAUUCACGGCCAGCCAGUGAGAAGACCAUUUACAAAACCCUGUUAAGAACCAAUUGUCUGGAUAUUUUACUCCAAUGAAAUAAAACUUUCAACAACGGAUCUCUAGGCUCUUACAUCGAUGAAGAACGCAGC
rnacentral:misc_RNA from 1 species